GGCCUUGUAGCUCAACUGGUUAGAGUACCGGACUGUCGAUCCGGCGGUUGCGGGUUCGAGUCCCGUCAAGGUCG
rnacentral:tRNA from 1 species